rnacentral:rRNA from 1 species
AGAGCGAACGCUGGCGGCAGGCCUAACACAUGCAAGUCGAGCGCCCGUAGCAAUACGGGAGCGGCAGACGGGAUAGUAACACGUGGGAACGCGCCCUUCGGUUCGGAAUAACUCAGGGAAACUUGAGCUAAUACCGAAUACGCCCUUACGGGGAAAGAUUUAUUGCCGAAGGAACGGCCCGCGUCCGAUUAGCUAGUUGGUGAGGUAAUGGCUCACCAAGGCUACGAUCGGUAGCUGGUCUGAGAGGAUGACCAGCAUCACUGGGACUGAGACACGGCCCAGACUCCUACGGGAGGCAGCAGUGGGGAAUAUUGGACAAUGGGCGCAAGCCUGAUCCAGCCAUGCCGCGUGGAUGAUGAAGGCCUUAGGGUUGUAAAGUCCUUUAACGGGAAGAUAAUGACGGUACCCGUAGAAUAAGCCCCGGCUAACUUCGCGCCAGCAGCCGC